rnacentral:rRNA from 1 species
GCGUACCUAUUGUUUCCUCGGCGGGCUUGCUCGCCGGUUGGACAAAACUAUAACCUUUUUUAAAUCUUCAAUCAGCGUCUGAAUUAUACAUAAUAAUUACAACUUUCAACAACGGAUCUCUUGGUUCUGGCAUCGAUGAAGAACGCAGCGAAAUGCGAUAAGUAGUGUGAAUUGCAGAAUUCAGUGAAUCAUCGAAUCUUUGAACGCACAUUGCGCCCCUUGGUAUUCCAUGGGGCAUGCCUGUUCGAGCGUCAUUUGUACCCUCAAGCUUUGCUUGGUGUUGGGCGUCUUGUCUUGUAUUAGACUCGCCUUAAAGUCAUUGGCAGCCAGUGUUUUUGGUAGUAAGCGCAGCACAUUUUGCGUCUUAGUCCUUGAAUCGUGGCAUCCAUGAAGCCUUUUUUCACUUUUGACCUCGGAUCAGGUAGGGAUACCCGCUGAACUUAAGCAUAU